AUUGAACGCUGGUGGCAGGCCUAACACAUGCAAGUCGAACGCGUGGCGGACGGGUGAGUAAUGUCUGGGAAACUGCCAGAUGGAGGGGGAUAACUACUGGAAACGGUAGCUAAUACCGCAUACCAUCAGAUGUGCCAAGAUGGGAUUAGCUUGUUGGUGGGGUAACGGCUCACCAAGGCCACGAUCCCUAGCUGGUCUGAGAGGUUGGACAGCCACACUGGAACUGAGACACGGUCCAGACUCCUACGGGAGGCAGCAGUGGGGAAUAUUGCACAAUGGGCGCAAGCCUGAUGCAGCCAUGCCGCGUGGAUGAAGAAGGCCUUCGGGUUGUAAAGUACUUUCAGCGGGGAGGCGUUACCCGCAGAAGAAGCACCGGCUAACUCCGUGCCAGCAGCCGCGGUAAUAC
rnacentral:rRNA from 1 species